AGUGAACGCUGGCGGUAGGCCUAACACAUGCAAGUCGAACGGCAGCACAGUAAGAGCUUGCUCUUACGGGUGGCGAGUGGCGGACGGGUGAGGAAGACAUCGGAAUCUACUUUUUCGUGGGGGAUAACGUAGGGAAACGUACGCUAAUACCGCAUACGACCUACGGGUGAAAGCAGGGGAUCUUCGGACCUUGCGCGAUUGAAUGAGCCGAUGUCGGAUUAGCUAGUUGGCGGGGUAAAGGCCCACCAAGGCGACGAUCCGUAGCUGGUCUGAGAGGAUGAUCAGCCACACUGGAACUGGGACACGGUCCAGACUCCUACGGGAGGCAGCAGUGGGGAAUAUUGGACAAUGGGCGCAAGCCUGAUCCAGCCAUACCGCGUGGGUGAAGAAGGCCUUCGGGUUGUAAAGCCCUUUUGUUGGGAAAGAAAAGCAGCAGGUUAAUACCCCGCUGUUCUGACGGUACCCAAAGAAUAAGCACCGGCUAACUUCGUG
rnacentral:rRNA from 1 species